AUCAACGCUGGCGGCGUGCCUCAGACAUGCAAGUCGAACGAUUAAAGCUCCCUUCGGGGAGUGCAUAAAGUGGCGCACGGGUGAGUAACACGUAAGUAAUCUACCCUCGAGUGGGAAUAACAACCGGAAACGGUUGCUAAUACCGCAUAAUGCAGCGGCACCGCAAGGUGACAGUUGUUAAAGAUUUAUCGCUUGAGGAGGAGCUUGCGGCAGAUUAGCUAGUUGGUAAGGUAAUGGCUUACCAAAGGCUACGAUCUGUAAACCGGUCUAAGAGGACGGUCGGUCACACUGACACUGAAUAACGGGUCAGACUCCUACGGGAGGCAGCAGUCGGGAAUUUUGGGCAAUGGGCGAAAGCCUGACCCAGCAACGCCGCGUGGAAGGAUGAAGUAUUUCGGUAUGUAAACUUCGAAAGAAUAGGAAGAAUUAAUGACGGUACUAUUUAUAAGGUCCGGCUAACUACGUGCCAGCAGCCGCGGUAAUACGUAGGGACCAAGCGUUGUUCGGAUUUACUGGGCGUAAAGGGCGCGUAGGCGGCCGUGGUUAAGUCACUUGUGAAAUCUCUGAGCUUAACUCAGAACGGCCAAGUGAUACUGCUGUGCUAGAGGUGCGGAAGGGGCAAUCGGAAUUCUUGGCUGUAUAGCGGUGUGAAAUGCGUAGAUAUCAAGAGGAAACACCUGAGGUGAAGACGGGUUGCUGGGCCGACACUAACGCUGAUGCGCGAAAGCCAGGGGAGCAAACGGGAUUAGAUACCCCGGUAGUCCUGGCCCCUAAACGGUAUGAAAUACUUGGUGUCUGGAGUCUUAAUGCUCCGGGUGCCGUCGCUAACGUUUUUAGUAUUCCGCCUGGGGAGUACGCUCGCAAGAGUGAAACUCAAAGGAAUUGACGGGGACCCGCACAAGCGGUGGAGCAUGUGGUUUAAUUCGACGCAACGCGAAGAACCUUACCUGGACUAGAAUGUGAGGGAGGAAAGGGUAAUUCCGAUCGUACUGGGCAAACCAGACCAAAACAAGGUGCUGCAUGGCGGUCGUCAGCUCGUGUCGUGAGAUGUUGGGUUAAGUCCCGCAACGAGCGCAACCCCUUGUCUGCUAGUUGCCAUAACAUGUAAUGCUGAGGCACUCUUCAGAGACUGGCCUGUGAUAAACCGGAGGAAGGUUGGGAUGACUGUCAAGUCAUCAUGGCCUUUAUGUUCAGGGGCUACACAACGUGCUACAAUGGCCGGUACAAAACCGUCGCAAUCUCGUAAGAGGUCGAGCUAAUCGCAAAAGCCGGUCUCAGUUCGGAUAGGCAGGCUGCAACUCGGCCUCCUUGAAGUUGGAAUCGCUAGUAAUCGCGGAAUCAGCACUGCCUGCGGAUGAAUACGUUACCCGGGCCUUGUACACACCGCCCGUCACAUCACGAAGCCGGUUGUAACUACCGAAGUCGGCUAGGGCUCAACCCCAUAGGGAGAGAGGCGCCUAAGUGGAGGACAGAUGAUUGGGGUG
rnacentral:rRNA from 1 species